AUUGAACGCUGGCGGCAGGCUUAACACAUGCAAGUCGAGCGGGGUGAUGGUGCUUGCACUAUCACUUAGCGGCGGACGGGUGAGUAAUGCCUAGGAAUCUGCCUAUUAGUGGGGGACAACAUCUCGAAAGGGAUGCUAAUACCGCAUACGUCCUACGGGAGAAAGCAGGGGAUCACUUGUGACCUUGCGCUAAUAGAUGAGCCUAAGUCGGAUUAGCUAGUUGGUGGGGUAAAGGCCUACCAAGGCGACGAUCUGUAGCGGGUCUGAGAGGAUGGUCCGCCACACUGGGACUGGGAAACGGCCCAGACUCCUACGGGAGGCAGCAGUGGGGAAUAUUGGACAAUGGGGGGAAACCUGAUCCAGCCAUGCCGCGUGUGUGAAGAAGGCCUUAUGGUUGUAAAGCACUUUAAGCGAGGAGGAGGCUCUUUUGGUUAAUACCCAAGAUGAGUGGACGUUACUCGCAGAAUAAGCACCGGCUAACUCUGUGCCAGCAGCCGCCGUAA
rnacentral:rRNA from 1 species